rnacentral:tRNA from 1 species
GUAUUCUGGAUUCAACAGUAGAGCAAAGGACUGAAAAUCCUUAUAUACUCGGUUCAAUUCCGAGAGAUGUCA